UCUUCCGCGGCACCGUCCGGUAGAGCGGAAAGGUGUGCGCCUGGCGCGGCGACUUAACAACAAUCAGGCGCGGGAUGCGCCAAGGACAAUGGAUGCUUUGACAUGCCUUUGCCCCUUCUGUCUGGUUCUUGGACCAGGGGAUAGGGGACGGCAAUGCGCUGUACGCGCGAGAUUGACACGACUCUCGGCAACGGAUAUCUCGGCUCUCGCAUCGAUGAAGGACGUAGCGAAAUGCGAUACUUGGUGUGAAUUGCAGAAUCCCGUGAACCAUCGAGUCUUUGAACGCAAGUUGCACCCGAGGCCACCAAGGCUAAGGGCACGUCUGCCUGGGUGUCACCUAGACCCUCACCAAACCCGGGUUCACUUCAGCGGAAGUGGCGGGGGGUGGUGGACGAUGGCCUCCCGUGCUCCUCGUGCGGUUGGCGGAAUCUGGAGCUGGAGCCGUUGAGCGCAGCGGCGUAUGGUGGUUGGGCGAGGAGAAAGUCCUCGAUUCGU
rnacentral:rRNA from 1 species